UAAGCUGACGGUGCAGCUGGUUCGCCCUGUCCGCCAGGCAGGGCGUCGCAAGAGGGAACCCGGUGACGCCUUUCGACUGGCCAGUCCGGGACUGCCCCGCAGCGGUGAGUGGGAACGACCGCCGUCAUACGCACUGGACCCGGGACGGGUCUGGGAAGCGACGGCCAGUAGGUGUCCGCCCUUCACGGGACGGACGCGCCCGCGAGUCCGAAGACCUGCCACUGCCCGCCCGCGGAC
rfam:Streptomyces sp. CB02056 scaffold7, whole genome shotgun sequence.